GACAGAGGUCUCAAGCGUUAGGCGGAAUCACUGGGCUUAAAGCGUGUGUAGGCGGAUGCCUAAGUACCCUGUGAAAUCCCACGGCUUAACCGUGGAACUGCUUGGUAUACUGGGUGUCUUGAGCCAGCUAGGGGCGACCGGAACAAACGGUGGAGCGGUGAAAUGCGUAGAUAUCGUUUGGAACGCCAAUGGUGAAAACAGGUCGCUGGGGCUGUGCUGACGCUGAGACACGAAAGCCAGGGGAGCAAACGGG
rnacentral:rRNA from 1 species